rnacentral:rRNA from 1 species
UGGCGAACGGGUGAGUAACACGUGGGUGAUCUGCCCUGCACUCUGGGAUAAGCCUGGGAAACUGGGUCUAAUACCGGAUAGGACCAUGCUUUAGUGUGUGUGGUGGAAAGUUUUUUCGGUGUAGGAUGAGCCCGCGGCCUAUCAGCUUGCUGGUGGGGUAAUGGCCUACCAAGGCGGCGACGGGUAGCCGGACUGAGAGGUUGGUCGGCCACAUUGGGACUGAGAUACGGCCCAG